UGCCGCACCUCAACCUCAAUAUCAGGACCCAACAUAUAGACAUGGACCAUACCAUCAAUUUCAAAAUGCUCCUCAACUGUCUACUACUGGUCAUAGCUCAGCUUUUGAGGAAAAAGUUCUGAAAGCACUAGAACGAUUAGAAGUCAACACUCAGAUCCUUAACUCCCACACACAAUCCAUUGCUAAGCUAGAGACCCAAAUAGAUCAACUAGUGACUGCAUUCAAUAGGAGGGAAGGAGAAAAAUUACCUAGCCAACCCGAGAGCAACCCAAGAGGGCAAUUUGUGAUUGAGAGUUCUAAUACCCCAGAAGCUUUUUCUAAACAUACCAAAUCAAUCAUGACUCUGAGAAGUGGGAAGGUCAUUGAACACACUAGUAAAACCAAUGAGACCGACCCUAAACCUCUUAUCGAAUCCAAAUCACCCA
rnacentral:lncRNA from 1 species